GACGAACGCUGGCGGCGUGCUUAACACAUGCAAGUCGAACGGAAAGGCCCCUUUGGGGGUACUCGAGUGGCGACCGGUUGAGUAACACGUGAGUAACCUUCCCUUGACUUCGGGAUAACUUCAGGAAACUGGGGCUAAUACCGGAUAGGAAUCCUUGCUGCAUGGUGGGGGUUGGAAAGCUUCUGCGGUUUUGGAUGGACUCGCGGCUUAUCAGCUUGUUGGUGGGGUAGUGGCUUACCAAGGCUUUGACGGGUAGCCGGCCUGUGGGGGCGAGCGGCCACAUUGGGACUGAGAGACGGCACAGACUCCUACGGGAGGCAGCAGUGCGGAAUAUUGAACCAUGGGCGGAAGCCUGAUGAAGCAACGCCGCGUGCGGGAUGACGGCCUUCGGGUUGUAAACCGCUUUCAGCAGGGGCGAAGCUUGUGGUGACGGUACCUGCAGAAGAAGCACCGGCUAACUACGUG
rnacentral:rRNA from 1 species